CAACCCUCAAGCCCCAGCGGCUUGGUGUUGGGGACCGGCCCCGGCCGCCCCCCAAAUGCAGUGGCGACCUCGCCGCAGCCUCCCCUGCGUAGUAGCACAACCUCGCACCGGAGCGCGGAGACGGUCACGCCGUAAAACGCCCAACUUCUUAGAG
rnacentral:misc_RNA from 1 species